rnacentral:rRNA from 1 species
GAUGAACGCUGGCGGCGUGCCUAAUACAUGCAAGUCGAGCGAACGGACGAGAAGCUUGCUUCUCUGAUGUUAGCGGCGGACGGGUGAGUAACACGUGGAUAACCUACCUAUAAGACUGGGAUAACUUCGGGAAACCGGAGCUAAUACCGGAUAAUAUUUUGAACCGCAUGGUUCAAAAGUGAAAGACGGUCUUGCUGUCACUUAUAGAUGGAUCCGCGCUGCAUUAGCUAGUUGGUAAGGUAACGGCUUACCGAGGCAACGAUGCAUAGCCGACCUGAGAAGGUGAUCGGCCACACUGGAACUGAGACACGGUCCAGACUCCUACGGGAGGCAGCAGUAGGGAAUCUUCCGCAAUGGGCGAAAGCCUGACGGAGCAACGCCGCGUGAGUGAUGAAGGUCUUCGGAUCGUAAAACUCUGUUAUUAGGGAAGAACAUAUGUGUAAGUAACUGUGCACAUCUUGACGGUACCUAAUCAGAAAGCCACGGCUAACUACGUG